rnacentral:rRNA from 1 species
CAGUAGCCACGGUAAUACAGAGGGUGCGAGCGUUAAUCGGAUUUACUGGGCGUAAAGCGUGCGUAGGCGGCUUCUUAAGUCGGAUGUGAAAUCCCUGAGCUUAACUUAGGAAUUGCAUUCGAUACUGGGAAGCUAGAGUAUGGGAGAGGAUGGUAGAAUUCCAGGUGUAGCGGUGAAAUGCGUAGAUAUCUGGAGGAAUACCGAUGGCGAAGGCAGCCAUCUGGCCUAAUACUGACGCUGAGGUACGAAAGCAUGGGGAGCAAACAGGAUUAGAGACCCGAGUAGUCCCUGUCUCUUAUAC